AUGUUGGUCGAGAGAGUGGUCCUAACCGGCAUGGACUUGUUGGAGGUGUUUCUCAGUCGAUGCAUCCAGCCGCUCCAGGCUCGUGACCACUCGAUGUGGAUGUACUAUGGAGCCAACGACACCACUCGAGUUCAUCCAGAGGAGGUUACGGACAAGAUGGUGGCCCUGUGGCUGAAAGGUAUUACGGGAAACAAGGACAACCCCAGGGGAGCCAGGAGAGUCGACCCAUUCAACGCCAACAACCAACCAGAUAAGGUUUAUACUAAGAUGUACUCGAUGCCCAACGACGAACAAGCUUUGGAGCAAGACCAGGAGGGAUAG
rnacentral:rRNA from 1 species